UUAGAGUUUGAUCAUGGCUCAGAUUGAACGCUGGCGGCAUGCUUUACACAUGCAAGUCGAACGGCAGCGCGGGGCAACCCUGCGGCGAGCGGCGAACGGGUGAGUAAUACAUCGGAACGUACCCAGUAAUGGGGGAUAACACAGCGAAAGUUGUGCUAAUACCGCAUACGCCCUGAGGGGGAAAGCGGGGGAUCGCAAGACCUCGCGUUAUUGGGGCGGCCGAUGUCAGAUUAGCUAGUUGGUGAGGUAAAGGCUCACCAAGGCGACGAUCUGUAGCGGGUCUGAGAGGACGGCCCGCCACACUGGGACUGAGACACGGCCCAGACUCCUACGGGAGGCAGCAGUGGGGAAUUUUGGACAAUGGGGGCAACCCUGAUCCAGCCAUUCCGCGUGAGUGAAGAAGGCCUUCGGGUUGUAAAGCUCUUUCGGCAGGAACGAAACGGUCGUNGCUAAUACCGAUGGCUAAUGACAGUA
rnacentral:rRNA from 1 species